rnacentral:lncRNA from 1 species
GUCCGUCACGCUGAAAAAAAUCUGUAUGUAUCAAUGUGUGCGGGCGCCGAAAUCCACGUGUGUUUCCUUGAUAAAUCCCAAUCAGCGUGGAAUUGAGCGCAGAUGUCGGAGUGACUGGGCCCGUCCCCGUUACGCCCUCCUAUAAAUAUGCAGAUUUAUUUAAUUAGGGUCUCCCUGUCCUCGCACGCAGACAAAAUGACAAGAAAAACUAAAUUUACGGCAUGCGAGGUGGAGGUGCUGGUGGCGGAGGUGGAGGAGCGACAGCGUGUUUUGUUUGGCAGCCUAUCCAGUGGCUUCAGUGCAAAACAAAAACGCUUGGAGUGGGAGAAAGUUUGCGAGAGGGUGAACGCGAUGGGUUCCGAGACACGCACCCCCGCGGAGAUUAAAAAAAAGUGGUCGGACCUCAAGGUGGAGGUCAAGCGGCGUACAGCUGCCCUCCGGAGGAGUACCGGCCAGACAGGUGGGGGUCCUGGGGAGGAGACCCUCACGCCGUUUGAGCAGCGGGUGGUGGCGAUUAUUAUUAUAGGGUAAGUGGCAUGUCACACAAAUGUCCACAUGCUUUGCCAUCCUACUGAGCAAAAGACGUAUAUUAGACGUCUAGUCUAAGUUUAAACUUCAUUUCAACGUCGGGAUUCAGUCUAUUUUUAGACGUGAUUUAUACUUCGCCCUUUACUUCAUUUUUCGAUAAGUUUUUAUGCAAUAAACAACUGUAAUGUGCAUAACUGACCUCUAAAUACUGGAUUACAUUACCUAUGAUAACGUGGAGAGAGACGUAAACGCAACAGAUACACAGAAGCAGGAAUUGAAAUGAUCCAAUAUUUUUAUUGUGUCACAGAAAUCAAUGUGUCGGCCGUGUCGCCGGCUUGCGGAGCCCCGGCCCGCGGCAGCCCGUCCGCCGAGUUGUCGGCCAGGACCAGCGGCAUUCGGGCCACCCCGGCCCCAGCACCAGCACCAGCACCAGCAUCAGCACCAG